AAAAAUUAGCCCAGCAUGGUGGCCCUUGCCUGUGGCCCCAGCUGCUCGGGAGGCUGAGGUGGGAGGAUCACUUGAGGCCAGGGGUUUGAGGCUGCAAUGAGCCACGACUGUGCCACUGCACUCCAGCCGGAGUGACAGAGCAAGACCCUGCCUCAAAAGAAAAAAAAAGUUUGAUAGGGCAUGUGGAACAAGAGACAGGACCUGAGGGAAGAGCAUGAAUGAAGGUAUUGAAGAGUAGAGGGACACUGUGUGUUGGGAACUGAGUGGUGUGGACUGCACAGUGGUGGGAGGAAGGGAAGAGGAGAGUUUCCAAAAAAUAGUUGGGACCAGACUGGGAAAGGCCUUGAAUGCCUUCCCAAGGAGUUAGGAAUUUAUUCCACACCUGGUGCCCAUGAAGGAAGCAGAUUGCUUCAAGGUUAAGCUCAGGCUUUGGAGACAGACUCUCCAGGUUUGGAUUCAGGCCCUGUCACUUAUUUGCCAUGGGGCUGAGUUCACCCAGCCUCAGUUUCUUCAUCUGUAAAAUAGGAGUGAUAAUCACAGGAUUGUUGUGGGGUUUCAAUGAGAGAAUGCGUGUAAAAUGUUUCGUACAAUUACUGCCACUUAUUUCUCAAUAAUUGCUGGCUUUGGUCAUUAAUAAAAGAGGGAAACAACAUUAUCAGAUCUGUAUUUAGAAGGAGUCUGGCAGAUAGGGACAGAUUUGGGCCAAAAUCUCAAGCCAGUAUUUUUCAAGGGUACACUAAACCUUGGUACAUAUCUAAUUAUAAUACAUUUUUUAAAAGGGUUAAAUGAGUACAAUUGAAACGGCAGAGUUCUUUUUUUUUGUUUGUUUGUUUUGAGACAGAGUCUAACUCUGUUGCCUAGGCUGGAGUACAACGGCACGGUCCUGGCUCACUGAAACCUCCGCCUCCCAAGUUCAAGCAAUUAUUCUGCCUCAACCUCCCAAGUAGCUAGGACUACAGGCACGUGCCACCACACCUGGCUAAUCUUUGUAUUUUUAGUAGAGAUGGGGUUUCACCAUGUUGGCCAGGCUGGUUUCGAACUCCUGACCUCGUGAUCCACCCACCUUGGCCUCCCAAAGUGCUGGGAUUACAGGCAUGAGCCACCAUGCCCAGCCAGUUGUUUUUUUAGGAAAGUCAUUGUAGUACACAUGGCUAGCCACACAUGGCAGGCGUGCUGGCACCCAGAGAAAGAGAAAGCCAAAGCUGUCCAUCUUGCAGACCGACAGGAGGGAGCCAGGACACAGCUGGGCUUGCUCGUGCCCAGAGAGAAAGAGUUAAGCUGCUUAACCUGAAGGCAAGGGAGAGUCGGCUGCACAGCUGUGUUGGGGGGCAGCUGGCUCAAGCAGCUGAGACAGGGCUAAUAGUGUUAAGAGUAAGCUGCUAAUAAGAGAGCUAGUGUAAGAAAGCUGUUAAUGAGAGCUGCUGCUGAAUAAAACUAUCUUUCACCUGCCUACAGCCCCCCCACCCGGAAUAUUCUUUCUGCUUACCCACCCACUCCCCUCAGACUUCAGCAUGGGCAGGACCUGGACCCUGGGAUCUGACACACAUCUCUACUAAAAAUACAAAAAUUAGCCAGUAUGGUGGCACAUGCCUGUAAUUCCAGCUACCAGGGUGGCUGAGGCAUGAUGAUCACCUGAACCCAGGAGUCAGAGGUUGCAGUGAGCUAAGACUGUGUCACUGCACUCUAGCCUGGGCAACAGAGCCUGACCCUGUGUCAAGACAAAAAAAACUUAAAGACCAUUUGUCCAGUAUAAACUCUUUCAAAAUAUAUACUCAAGCAUAGAAAAAAAGUCUAGAAAUGUCAUCAAUGGUAAUUUCAGGAAAGAAUUUUAAGGUGACGUUUUUUGGUUAUCUGCAUUUUUUUUUCUUUUAUUUUUUUGAGAUAGGGUCUUGCUGUGUCACCCAGGCUGGAGUGCAGUGAUGCGAUCAGGGCUCACUGCAGCCUUGACCUCCCAGGCUUAAGCCAUCCUCCCACCUCAGUCUCCUGAGUAGCUGGGACUACAGGCGCAAGCCACCACACCUGGCUAAUUUUUGCAUUCUUGUAUUUUUUGCAAAGAUGGGGUUUUGCCAUGUUGCCCAAGCUGGUCUCAAGCGAUCCGCCCACCUUGGCCUCCCAGAGUGCUGGGAUUACAAGUGUGACCUAUGUGUGCCAGGCCUACGUUUUCUUUUCUGUAAUGACCAUGACCAUGGAUUUCAUGUACCAACAUUUUUCUAGCAAUAAUAUUUACAAAGCAUACUAUGAAAAAUGUUCAGAGAAAAAGAAGAAUACACAACUGUAAAAAUCAUAUAUAACUAGUUUUCUUUUUGUUUGUUUUUAAAGCCAAAAAAGAAACAAAGUAUAGAUUGUCCAGGAAGAUAGUUACUUCCACUUUGUGUUUCUCUGGUGAACUCAUUAGGAACUCUAAAAAGUUCCAGGAGGGCUGGGCAUGGUGGCUCAUGCCUGUAAUCCCAG
rnacentral:lncRNA from 1 species